rnacentral:rRNA from 1 species
UACAGAGGUCUCAAGCGUUGUUCGGAUUCAUUGGGCGUAAAGGGUGCGUAGGUGGCGCCGUAAGUCAGGUGUGAAAUUUCGGAGCUUAACUCCGAAACUGCAUUUGAUACUGCGGUGCUUGAGGACUGGAGAGGAGACUGGAAUUCACGGUGUAGCAGAGAAAUGCGUAGAUAUCGUGAGGAAGACCAGUGGCGAAGGCGGGUCUCUGGACAGUUCCUGACACUGAGGCACGAAGGUCAGGGGAGCAAACGGG